AUGCGCGCCGCCUCGGCCGGGAACACGGGGUGUCCCCGCCGCCCCACCCAUAGGGCUGCCGCCGCACAGCCUGCUGGGACGCGGAGUUCCCCACCUGCGCACUCGGGCGUAGAGCAACAGCAGGAAAACCACAGCUCCCAGGAAGCAGCGCGGCGCCGUCUCGCUCGGCUGCGCUCCCGAACGCGGAAACGAGGAGGCGGUGUGGAAGCGCUGACAGGGCUGGGCGUGCUCUGCCGCGCCAUGGCGGCGCUCGGCGCCUACCGCUGCAUCGAGUGCAACGGGGAGGCGACAGAGCUGUACCGGGACUACCAGCGCGGGGUGCUCCGUAUCUCCAUAUGCAAAUCCUGCCAGAAACCUGUGGAUAAAUACAUUGAGUAUGAUCCUGUUAUCAUCUUGAUUAAUGCUGUUUUAUGCAAAGCACAAGCAUACAGGCACAUUCUUUUCAAUACAAAGAUAAAUAUUCAUGGGAAGCUCUGUGUAUUUUGUUUGCUCUGUGAAGCUUAUCUCAGGUGGUUGCAACUACAGGAUUCAAGCCAAAAUACAGAUCCUGAUGACUUAAUCAGAUAUGCCAAAGAAUGGGAUUUUUAUAGAAUGUUUGGCAUAGCUUCUUUAGAACAAACUUCAUUUUUCAUUGGUAUUUUUAUUACCUUGUGGUGGAUGACACCUGAGAUGCUGAAAACAAAGUCUGACUUCAUUUUACUUCUCAAAGCACUGCUGUUGUCCACCUACGGAAAGCUUCUGCUAAUUCCAGCUGUUAUUUGGGAGCACGACUACACACCUUUGUGCCUUGCAUUUAUAAAAGUGUUUGUCUUGAUAUCAAACUCUCAGGCAAUUAGAGUUACAUUGAACUUGAACCGAAUACUCCCUUGGUUUGCCAUCUUCUUUGGAUUAAUUUUGGAAAAUGGUGUGGUCUGCUUGUUCCAGAAAAUAGGAUGGGAUGUUUGAAAUGUCAGCCCAGUGAAGAAAUACCAACAACAGGAUGAUAAUUUUCUAAGAAUGAUCUCUGCCAGCAGGCUCCAAAAACACUGCUUUCACAGGGAUAAAAAAGUGCCUAGCUGGGCAGUGACAGAACAGCUUUGGUGAGCAUCUGACAUCCAAACUGGGCCAAUCCACCACAACUCUGGAUGUCUCUUGAGAAAAAUGUGCAUGAUUUCUAAUGUAAAUUUUGAUUUUUUUAACAAUGUAACAGCAGUGCUUUGGUUUAUUCUUCUUAGGUUACAGAUUUUUUUUUUUUUCAUAUUCAUCAUAUGUGUCAUCUGUAUGUGUCAUGGUUAUCUAUACCCCCUGAAAAAGGGGAUUUUUUGGUUUUUUUCCAGAUAUUUGGUCUGGCACCGGUUUCAGUCUGUAGGCUGAGUGGAGGCCAUUUAAGUGUAACUAAUGCAGGUUAUUGUAUGUAAACAUGAUGUCAACAGCAAUAUUGUAAAUACAAGGUAUAUAAAUUUUAUUUGAGGAUAGUCUUCUUAAUUUAAACUUUAUUUUUAAUUUUUACAAACUUAUUUGAGAUAUUUUCUGGGGGUUCUUUUGGAACACCUAGGGUGGACAUGAACACAUUCCAAAAGAAGCAGUGUUUAUCUAUUGUGACACAUACACUGAUAAUGUAUCAGUUAUGCACUCCAUAAUGCUG